AAAUUGAAGAGUUUGAUCAUGGCUCAGAUUGAACGCUGGCGGCAGGCCUAACACAUGCAAGUCGAGCGGUAGCACAGAAGAGCUUGCUCUUCGGGUGACGAGCGGCGGACGGGUGAGUAAUGUCUGGGAAACUGCCUGAUGGAGGGGGAUAACUACUGGAAACGGUAGCUAAUACCGCAUAACGUCUUCGGACCAAAGAGGGGGACCUUCGGGCCUCUUGCCAUCGGAUGUGCCCAGAUGGGAUUAGCUAGUAGGUGAGGUAAUGGCUCACCUAGGCGACGAUCCCUAGCUGGUCUGAGAGGAUGACCAGCCACACUGGAACUGAGACACGGUCCAGACUCCUACGGGAGGCAGCAGUGGGGAAUAUUGCACAAUGGGCGCAAGCCUGAUGCAGCCAUGCCGCGUGUGUGAAGAAGGCCUUCGGGUUGUAAAGCACUUUCAGCGGGGAGGAAGGCGAUAAGGUUAAUAACCUUGUCGAUUGACGUUACCCGCAGAAGAAGCACCGGCUAACUCCGUGCCAGCAGCCGCGGUAAUACGGAGGGUGCAAGCGUUAAUCGGAAUGACUGGGCGUAAAGCGCACGCAGGCGGUCUGUUAAGUUGGAUGUGAAAUCCCCGGGCUUAACCUGGGAACUGCAUUCAAAACUGACAGGCUAGAGUCUUGUAGAGGGGGGUAGAAUUCCAGGUGUAGCGGUGAAAUGCGUAGAGAUCUGGAGGAAUACCGGUGGCGAAGGCGGCCCCCUGGACAAAGACUGACGCUCAGGUGCGAAAGCGUGGGGAGCAAACAGGAUUAGAUACCCUGGUAGUCCACGCUGUAAACGAUGUCGACUUGGAGGUUGUGCCCUUGAGGCGUGGCUUCCGGAGCUAACGCGUUAAGUCGACCGCCUGGGGAGUACGGCCGCAAGGUUAAAACUCAAAUGAAUUGACGGGGGCCCGCACAAGCGGUGGAGCAUGUGGUUUAAUUCGAUGCAACGCGAAGAACCUUACCUACUCUUGACAUCCACAGAAUUUGGUAGAGAUACCUUAGUGCCUUCGGGAACUGUGAGACAGGUGCUGCAUGGCUGUCGUCAGCUCGUGUUGUGAAAUGUUGGGUUAAGUCCCGCAACGAGCGCAACCCUUAUCCUUUGUUGCCAGCGAGUAAUGUCGGGAACUCAAAGGAGACUGCCGGUGAUAAACCGGAGGAAGGUGGGGAUGACGUCAAGUCAUCAUGGCCCUUACGAGUAGGGCUACACACGUGCUACAAUGGCGUAUACAAAGAGAAGCGAACUCGCGAGAGCAAGCGGACCUCAUAAAGUACGUCGUAGUCCGGAUUGGAGUCUGCAACUCGACUCCAUGAAGUCGGAAUCGCUAGUAAUCGUAGAUCAGAAUGCUACGGUGAAUACGUUCCCGGGCCUUGUACACACCGCCCGUCACACCAUGGGAGUGGGUUGCAAAAGAAGUAGGUAGCUUAACCUUCGGGAGGGCGCUUACCACUUUGUGAUUCAUGACUGGGGUGAAGUCGUAACAAGGUAACCGUAGGGGAACCUGCGGUUGGAUCACCUCCUUACCAAAAAGA
rnacentral:rRNA from 1 species